GUCUUUUUGGUUAUUUAAUAUAAAGUCUGACCUGCCCACUGAAAUUAUUUUAAAGGGCCGCAGUAUUUUGACUGUGCAAAGGUAGCAUAAUCAUUAGUCUUUUUAUUGAAGGCUGGUAUGAAUGGUUGGAUGAGGUACAAGCUGUGUCAUAAAAAUUAAUAUUUGAAUUUACCUUUUUAGUCAAAAGGCUAAAAUAAAAUUAAAAGACGAGAAGACCCUAUAGAGCUUUAUAUAAUUUAUAUUUAAAUUAUUAAGAUUUUUUAAAUUUAAUUAUUUUAUUAUAUUUUGUUGGGGUGACAAUAAAAUUUAUAAAACUUUUAUUAUUAUUUUACAUUUAUUUAUGAUUACAUGAUCCAGUUUUAUUGAUUAUAAAUUUAAGUUACCUUAGGGAUAACAGCGUAAUUUUUUUUGAGAGUUCUUAUCGACAAAAAAGAUUGCGACCUCGAUGUUGGAUUAAGAGUAAUUUUGGGUGUAGAAGUUCAAAAUUUAAGUCUGUUCGACUUUUAAAUUCUUACAU
rnacentral:rRNA from 1 species